rnacentral:rRNA from 1 species
GGACUACAGGGGUAUCUAAUCCUGUUUGCUCCCCACGCUGUCGCGCCUCAGCGUCAGCCACUGCCCAGCGAGCCGCCUUCGCCACCGGUGUUCUUCCGGAUCUCUACGCAUUCCACCGCUACACCCGGAAUUCCACUCGCCUCUACAGUGCUCCAGCCUCGCAGUCGGCACGGCCGAUCCGGGGUUGAGCCCCGGACUUUCACCGCACCCUUAAGAGGCCGCCUACGCGCCCUUUACGCCCAGUGAUUCCGGACAACGCUCGCACCCUCCGUAUUACCGCGGCUGCUGGCAC